GAUGAACGCUGGCGGCGUGCUUAACACAUGCAAGUCGAACGGAAAGGCCCAAGCUUGCUUGGGUACUCGAGUGGCGAACGGGUGAGUAACACGUGGGUGAUCUGCCCUGCACUUUGGGAUAAGCCUGGGAAACUGGGUCUAAUACCGGAUAGGACAACCUCUUGGAUGUUGUGGUGGAAAGUUUUCUCGGUGUGGGAUGAGCUCGCGGCCUAUCAGCUUGUUUGUGGGGUAAUGGUCUACCAAGGCGUCGACGGGUAGCCGGCCUGAGAGGGUGUACGGCCACAUUGGGACUGAGCGGCAGCCCCGACUCCGACGGUGGGCAGCAGUGGGGAAUAUUGCACAAUGGGCGCAAGCCUGGUGCAGCGACGCCGCGUGGGGGAUGACGGCCUUCGGGUUGUAAACUCCUUUCGCUAGGGACGAAGCGUUUUUGUGACGGUACCUGGAGAAGAAGCACCGGCUAACUACGUG
rnacentral:rRNA from 1 species